rnacentral:rRNA from 1 species
GGCGGCAGGCUUAACACAUGCAAGUCGAGCGCACCUUCGGGUGAGCGGCGGACGGGUUAGUAACGCGUGGGAACAUACCCUUUGGUACGGAAUAGCCUCUGGAAACGGAGAGUAAUACCGUAUGAGCCCUUCGGGGGAAAGAUUUAUCGCCAAAGGAUUGGCCCGCGUUAGAUUAGGUAGUUGGUGGGGUAAUGGCCUACCAAGCCUACGAUCUAUAGCUGGUUUUAGAGGAUGAUCAGCAACACUGGGACUGAGACACGGCCCAGACUCCUACGGGAGGCAGCAGUGGGGAAUCUUGGACAAUGGGGGCAACCCUGAUCCAGCCAUGCCGCGUGAGUGAUGAAGGCCUUAGGGUCGUAAAGCU